rnacentral:rRNA from 1 species
GUAAUCAAAAGUUUAUUGAUUGUAAACCUGUAUGAAAGAUAGAAUCUGUGUUUCCUUUCCUUGAUUUGAUUAUGAAUUUAAAGAAAGAUAAAAAAUACUUUCCAAAAAGGCAGACGAGAAGACCCUAAAAGCUAAUUGAAAUCAAUUUUUUGGGGAAAAUAUAAUUAAGAAACUAAUUUUGAAAGAAUUAAAAAACUUAGAAAUAAGCUACUUUAGGGAUAACAGAGUAAUUUUUUCAAAAAGUACAUAUUGGAUUAAAAGAUUACGACCUCGAUGUUGGAUUCCUGAAUCUAAACACCGCAGCAGGUGUAAAAGAAUAGACUGUUCGUUUUUUAAAUCAGG